UUCGUAUUUAUUUUUCAUAGUAAUCAGUAAGUUUUUCCUCCAAGAUCGUAAAGUGAUUUUUGAAAAAGUUAAAAUCGGUUUAAUUGCUUAAAAAAUCGCAUAAAUUAGUACAAAUUACGGACAACUCGCGCACAAAAAUCGAAUUACGAGUGUUUAAAGUGUUAUCAGUGUAUUUGGACAAAAUACGUAAAGCCUGUGCUUUCGCAAAGCCAAAGAAAAAAAACGUCAUCUUUGUCGAAUUGAUUCGCUGGCGACCACAACGACAUUCGCAACAGGAGAAAAAAGAAAUUAAACAAUAAUCAUAUAAAUGACAAGUGGUUGAUUUUGGUUUACUUUUUGCAACUGUUUCUAACGCUAUUAUAAAAAGAAAAUAAAAUUAUAAAAGUGUCAACAGGAAUACUAUAAAAAAACAGCCUAAAUAAGACGCAGACAAACAAGUAUGAACAGCGUUGUGAGCAGCACAGCGCCAAGUACAACGAGCUUCAUUGACCCGAAUGGCACAGCAGCAGCCGCCAUCGCAGUUGCCGCAUCGACGAUGACCGAAUCGACCACGCUGAAACCGAGUAUCGUUGUACAAGCUAAACCAAUGCCGUCGCCCAUUGAUCCGCUCAGUCACGUCGGUGAUGGUAUCUUCCUGCAAACAAAAACCGCCCAAGGACUUGCGACCGUCUUCGUGUGGGUGGCACUAUUUAUCACAUGCCAACAGAUUUAUCAACAUCUGCGUUGGUACACAAAUCCACAGGAGCAGCGCUGGAUAGUGCGCAUUCUAUUUAUUGUGCCCAUGUAUGCGACAUACUCGUGGAUCAGUUUGUUUUUCUUCAAUUCGGAUAAUGUGUAUGUGUACUUCUUUACCGUGCGCGAUUGCUACGAAGCUUUUGUCAUCUACAGUUUCCUGUCGCUGUGCUAUGAGUACCUUGGUGGCGAGGGCAAUAUCAUGUCCGAGAUACGCGGCAAGCCCAUCAAGAGCUCGUGUCUGUAUGGCACCUGCUGUCUGAAGGGUAAGACGUAUACAAUCGGUUUCCUGCGCUUUUGCAAGCAGGCCACAUUGCAAUUCUGCUUGGUGAAGCCGCUGGUGGCAUUCAUUAUUAUAUUCCUGCAAGCCUUUGGCCACUACCAUGAUGGUGAUUGGAGCGCAAACGGUGGCUACAUUUACAUUACAGUUAUCUAUAAUAUAUCCGUGUCUCUUGCCCUCUACGGUCUAUACUUAUUCUACUUCGCUACGCGUGAUUUACUCACACCAUUCGAGCCUGUAUUGAAGUUUUGUACAAUCAAAUCAGUUAUUUUCUUAUCGUUUUGGCAAGGUGUUAUGUUGGCUAUUUUGGAAAAGGCCAAGGUCAUCUCGCCAAUUGUGGACAGUGUCGGCACUGUCACCUCAGCUGGUACUGUUUCGGCGGGCUAUCAAAACUUCUUCAUUUGCAUCGAAAUGUUGUUUGCUGCGAUUGCCUUGCGCUAUGCAUUCCCCUAUCAGGUUUACGCGCGCAGCUGCAUUGCCGAUGGCCAAGGUCGCUCUGUUACCAUGCAAUCAAUUUCAAGCAGUCUUAAAGAAACUAUGAAUCCCAAGGAUAUUAUGACAGAUGCUAUACACAAUUUCCAUCCACAAUACCAACAGUACACGCAAUACAGUUCCGAAGUUACCUCGUCUCAACGUUAUGAGAAACUUUAAAAUCAUUGUCUGUCAAUGCGCUAAUGAGCCGCCGAGCGGAAGACAUAAAAUGUUGUGAGCGUUGAAGAGGGCGAACAGAAACAGAAACAGAAUCAGAAAUAGUACUUACUUAUAAUUUAAUAAAUAUAAUUGAAAAAAGCAAAAAAAAAAGACGACGAAAUCAAUUCUAAAACAAUAUUUUUCUAGUGCUAAUGCGUUAACAAAAUGCCUUUGCGAAGUGCAUUUGCUUACCAAAAUUGCCUUAUACAAAACACACACGAGUACACAUAAAUAUAUAUUUAUACAUUAAAAUACUGCUAGCGAUUAAAAGCGAUUAUCAAUAAAAGAACAGGAUGAAUUUCAAGCAAACGAUAAAAAUGGCGUAGCUCUUAAGUUGAACUAAAAUAUAAUUAGACACACACACAUGCACACAUGCGUGUAUUGCGAGGGAGUUUCUACAAGUGUUGCUUGUUUAGCGUAGCUCAAGGUGCACCUGGAUCAAUGCACUGCCUCGUUAUAUCUAACAAGAAGGGAGAAAAAACAUUAAUUUUUAUUGAUUACGAAAAUAAAUAGGAAAUUUGCGCCAUACAUUCCUCUUUAAGCCAACUAUAUUCAAAAAAUAUUCCUGUUGAUCGUAGCUUGAUUCAUAGUUGAUAUGUAUUUUGAUUUUUUUUUAAUUUUGAAUUCUUACUUUUUUGUAGCUCAUAUUUAUACAAUUUUACUAUUCAUGCAGUUUUUAAAAUUUUUCUUAUUGUUUGCCCACUAGCUAGGUUAUUAUUACUAACCAUGUAUUUAUACAUUAUUAUAAAGCAAUUAAAAAAUGUGUUUACCAAUAUAUCACUACGCAUAUAUGCAUAUUUAGCUAUAAUUCUGUACUUGUUUGAAAUUUCGGAUUUCCAAAAAGAAAAAGUCACCUACCUUCGGGUACUUAUUCAAUGAAAACAAAUUACGUUACUUUAGUAUGAGCCUAAAGCACAAAGUACUUAACUUGCACAAUGAAAAAAUUGAAAUUUUUUUUUAUAAAUUUUUUGUUUUAAAGUUGUGUUCGCAUUGUUCUUUACAUUUCUGGUGCCGUUAGUUCUACAUAAUUUUUCUCUACACAGUUUAAUUUUCUUU
rnacentral:misc_RNA from 1 species